rnacentral:rRNA from 1 species
ACAUGAUGGUUUCUUUUAGAAAUUAUUUAACCAAAAAUCAAACUUCCAAGAAAAGCUCGUAUUACUUUACAAUGAAAUAAACCUGUACCCGAAACCGACACAGGUAGGUAGGUAGAGAAUACUAAGGGACGCGAGAUAACUCUCUCUAAGGAACUCGGCAAAAUGGCCCCGUAACUUCGGGAGAAGGGGUGGCUAUCAUAAAAAAUAGCUCGCAGUGACCAGGCCCAGGCGACUGUUUAUCAAAAACACAGGUCUCCGCAAAGUUGCAAAACGACGUAUGGGGGCUGACGCCUGCCCAGUGCCGGAAGGUAAAGGAAGUUGGUUAUUUAACUUGUUUAAAGAAGCUGACGACCGAAGCCCCGGUAAACGGCGGCUGUAACACUGACAGUCCUAAGGUAGCGAAAUUCCUUGCCAAGUAAGUUUUGGCCCGCACGAAAGGCGUAACGAUCUGGGCACUGUCUCGGAGAGAGACUCGGUGAAAUAGAAAUGUCUGUGAAGAUGCGGACUACCUAUACCAGGACAGAAAGACCCUAUGAAGCUUGAAGGUAGCUUGGAAUUGGGUUUGGGCUCUUUUUGCGCAGUCUAGGCGGGAGGCGUUGAAGAUAGGAUUUCGGUCCUAUCUGAGCCAUCAGUGAGAGACCACUCUGGAAGAGCUAGAAUCCUAAUAGUACUCCUUGAAUCAGGAUACUUGACCGUUUCAGGCGGACCUUUUUUCUGGGGCGGAUGCCUGCUAAAAAGUAACGGAGGUGUGCAAAGGUUCCCUCAGGCUGGACGGAAAUCAGCUGUAGAGUGUAAAGGUAGAAGGGAGCUUGACUGCAAGACCUACAAGUCGAGCAGGGGCGAAAGCCGGCCUUAGUGAUCCGACGGUACCGCGUGGAAGGGCCGUCGCUCAACGGAUAAAAGUUACUCUAGGAUAACAGGCUGAUCUCCCCCAAGAGUUCGCAUCGACGGGGAGGUUUGGCACCUCGAUGUCGGCUCAUCGCAACCUGGGGCUGUAGUCGGUCCCAAGGGUUGGGCUGUUCGCCCAUGAAAGCGGUACGUGAGCUGGGUUCAGAACGUCGUGAGACAGUUCGGUCCAUAUCCGGUAUAGGCGUAAGAGCAUUGAGAGGAUCUCAACAUUGUACAAGAGGACCCGAAGGGACGUACCGAUGGUGUACCAGUUCUUGUACCAACAGGAAACGCUGGGUAGCUAAGUACGGAAUGGAUAAUCGCUGAAAGCAUCUAAGUGAGAAGCCUACCUCAAGAUGAAUGCUCUCCAUUAGGUCGCGGCAAGACAAGCCGAUGAUAGGCGUUAGGUGUAAGAUCUGUAAGGGUUUCAGCCGAGACGUACUAAUUGAUCGAUUG